rnacentral:rRNA from 1 species
AACGAACGCUGGCGGCAUGCCUAACACAUGCAAGUCGAACGAGACCUUCGGGUCUAGUGGCGCACGGGUGCGUAACGCGUGGGAAUCUGCCCUUCGGUUCGGAAUAACUCAGGGAAACUUGAGCUAAUACCGGAUAAUGACGUAAGUCCAAAGAUUUAUCGCCGAAGGAUGAGCCCGCGUAGGAUUAGCUUGUUGGUGGGGUAAUGGCCCACCAAGGCGACGAUCCUUAGCUGGUCUGAGAGGAUGAUCAGCCACACUGGGACUGAGACACGGCCCAGACUCCUACGGGAGGCAGCAGUGGGGAAUAUUGGACAAUGGGCGAAAGCCUGAUCCAGCAAUGCCGCGUGAGUGAUGAAGGCCUUAGGGUUGUAAAGCUCUUUUACCCGGGAUGAUAAUGACAGUACCGGGAG